AUUGAACGCUGGCGGCAUGCCUUACACAUGCAAGUCGAACGGCAGCACGGGGCAACCUGGUGGCGAGUGGCGAACGGGUGAGUAAUGCAUCGGAACGUACCUUUCAGUGGGGGAUAACGUAGCGAAAGUUACGCUAAUACCGCAUAUUCUGUGAGCAGGAAAGCAGGGGAUCGCAAGACCUUGCGCUGAUUGAGCGGCCGAUGUCAGAUUAGCUAGUUGGUGAGGUAAAGGCUCACCAAGGCGACGAUCUGUAGCGGGUCUGAGAGGAUGAUCCGCCACACUGGGACUGAGACACGGGCCAGACUCCUACGGGAGGCAGCAGUGGGGAAUUUUGGACAAGGGGGGCAACCCUGAUCCAGCCAUGCCGCGUGAGUGAAGAAGGCCUUCGGGUUGUAAAGCUCUUUCGGCCGGGAAGAAAUCGCACGGGCUAAUACCCUGUGUGGAUGACGGUACCGGAAUAAGAAGCACCGGCUAACUACGUGCCAGCCGCCGCGGUAACAC
rnacentral:rRNA from 1 species